rnacentral:rRNA from 1 species
UGGGGAAUAUUGCACAAUGGGCGCAAGCCUGAUGCAGCCAUGCCGCGUGUAUGAAGAAGGCCUUCGGGUUGUAAAGUACUUUCAGUCGGGAGGAAGAUGGUAAGGUUAAUAACCUUAUCAAUUGACGUUACCGACAGAAGAAGCACCGGCUAACUCCGUGCCAGCAGCCGCGGUAAUACGGGGGGUGCAAGCGUUAAUCGGAAUUACUGGGCGUAAAGCGCACGCAGGCGGUUGAUUGAGUCAGAUGUGAAAUCCCCGGGCUUAACCCGGGAAUUGCAUCUGAUACUGGUCAGCUAGAGUCUUGUAGAGGGGGGUAGAAUUCCAUGUGUAGCGGUGAAAUGCGUAGAGAUGUGGAGGAAUACCGGUGGCGAAGGCGGCCCCCUGGACAAAGACUGACGCUCAGGUGCGAAAGCGUGGGGAGCAAACAGG